CGCACGGGUGAGUAACACGUAUCCAACCUGCCGUCUACUCUUGGCCAGCCUUCUGAAAGGAAGAUUAAUCCAGGAUGGGAUCAUGAGUUCACAUGUCCGCAUGAUUAAAGGUAUUUUCCGGUAGACGAUGGGGAUGCGUUCCAUUAGAUAGUUGGUGAGGUAACGGCUCACCAAACCUUCGAUGGAUAGGGGUUCUGAGAGGAAGGUCCCCCACAUUGGAACUGAGACACGGUCCAA
rnacentral:rRNA from 1 species